AGAAAGUCUAGGGGUAGGGUUCGGGUUACAGAGGAAGGUCCUGACAGUAGCAAUGUACCAAAAACAUGGAUAUAAAAUUAUACAUUUUUUCAUAAUUUAAUAUUAAGUCACACUAGCCAAAAAAUUCUUAGAAUAAAGUUGGGGUUUUUCCUUCAGCCGUUGUGGUUGCACUGUACCUUUAGGUUAUCUAGAUCUACAACGGCUGAAGGAAAAACCACGGAUUAAUUUCUCAGAAUAUUCGGCUGCUUAGUAUUAACAUUAAAAAUAUUUAUGUGUAAUAUUAAUUACCCUAUUUUUUUCAUUACAACUGUAAGGACCUUCCUCUCCAACCCUAACCCUACCCCUAGACUUUCUAUUGGAUUAAUACACGUUUUCAAGACCAGAACAUGUGUGGUCAUGUAGCUCUACGGGUUACGCCUGUGAUGUUCAGGACUCAUUCUUGUAUUUUACACUCUCUGAUGUUUUCUUUUCUUCAUGUCUAGUGUGUGAAUCAUUUCUGGUUUGUCUCUUCAGUGUCUCAUGUGGCCCUGCAGCUUCUCCUCCUCCACCUCCUCCACCUCCUCCUGAAGCCUUCAUCUUCUUCAUCAUCAGCUGCUCAGUGACUCUGUUGGACGUCUCACCGUGUGGCAGCAGCUCAGGAGUUUGCAGUCAACCAAGGCCGACUCAGAAUCACUCCCACCGGGAAGAUCUGUGAAGGAAGGUCCACCCGGCUGGUCCAGAAGCUCCGGUCCAGCAGAGCAGCGUCAGGAUGGAGACGUAACCGGUGUUGAUGUCACCGCCUUGACGAAUAGAAGAAAAGCCUGUAUUUGGGUAUGUAGGACUGGUAGUCCAGAGGUAGUGGUGGUGGUUUGGAACCUGGAGAGUGCAGGUUCAAUCCCCCACCCUGCUCAAGCUUUUUUUUUACAUUUGGG